rnacentral:lncRNA from 1 species
CAAUAAUGAGCAUUUCUCAAAUUCCACUAGGAUUCUCCCUCCCUGUUUGCAUUCUCUGAUGGACUUGAUUGAUGGAAGCUUUACCAUCACCACAACCAGUUUUACAUGACUGUCCACAAAAAGAUACCAGGAUUCCUAGGCUCAGAACUGCCAUAACACAAAAAGGACUUUCCUCUUAUACACGCUCAGCCUGCCUUCCCUCCUAUGAACCCAGUCUCAGCAAGGAUCAUGUUGGGGCUCAUGACCCAAGGAAAGGGGAUCAGAUUAGUGGCUCUCCAGAGUCACCCAUUCUGUGGACAAGAAAACCUGAAACCAAGAGGUUAAAUGGAGUUCUCAGAAUAACAUGCCAGCAGGGACUCGUUGGCGCUGGGCCUGGGGAUGCCUGGUGUGGGACCUGCAAACUUUUGUCACACCAUGGACUCUUCUAUACUUUACUCUCUGUGUUUUGGCUAAAAAACCCACAGUGGCUGUUUGGCUCACGCAGCCUAUUUUAGGGUGCAUUCUAGAUUUCAUUAAGGAUAUGGAAACAAAGCAUAAAAUGAGGUUUGAUGUCAAGAAAGAAUGAAAAGAGAAGACAUGCCCCAGACCACUGGGUCCCAGCACCCUGUGACCUUGGAGUGUGUGGGGGAGGCCCCUGCCAGGAAGAGGUGCCUGGGUGCUUGGUACUCUGGUGCUGUCCACCAGGAACCAACCACACCUGCUACAGAUCUGCCAGAUCAGGCUUGAGCAGGGAGCAACAUGUGUCUUCCUCGGAAUGCAAAACCAAGCCAAAAAACGAAGAAAGCAAGCUCUAUGACCCAACAACCCUCCUGUGGCUGUGCCGUCCAGAAUGGCAGCAACCAGCACACGUGGCUCCUGAGCAGCUGAAAUACAACCAAAGGAAGGUGUGCUGUAAGUGUGAACUCCCCAGGGGACUCCAAAGCCUUAGUGCAAGACAGAACGCAAAGCACCUCAUUAAAAAUGCUCACGAUGACUGCAGGUUAAGGUACUUUAGAUAUAUUUCGGCCAAAUUAAAUGCAUAAUUAAGAUUAA